AAAAAGAUAAGCUAAAAUAAGCUUUUGGGUUCAUACCCCAACUAUAAAUUAAAUUUUCUUUUUA
rnacentral:tRNA from 1 species